AGGCAGGAGACGUGUCCGGGGACCAGAUGGAAAUCAGGCUUUCUCCGGAACCCGCAGCCCCUCGGAAUCCCGGGAGCUGCCUUGGCUGCGUGUGGUUCAUCUGCAGUGUACUCAAAGGACCCUGAAGUCUCCACUCAUCUGGGUUCUACCCUCUGGACUGAAGACCCUCACAAUCAGCCUGGGGUUCAGGCCACGGAGCCUCUGUCCUCACAGCCCGAAUCUCCACUGACUCUCUGAACUGUGGCUGGGGCAGCGAGGGGAGAGUUCCCGCUUAGACUUCUGGAUCUGCUCCUUCCGGUCUGUUUCCUUUCUUCCUUUGACGCGCCCCACCCCCACCUCUCUGUGGCUGAGUUUAUGUCUGCCUUGUCACCUGCCCAGGAAGACCAUGUACUUUCUGUUGGACUCCAGAUAGCAUCUGGGACCCACAUGCACGGUGCUGGGCAGGUGGCGCUCAGCUCCAGGGGCUGGGCCAUCUCCAGUGCCUUCAGAAAGCCGUCGUAGGGUGUACGGUCCAGUGUGGACUGUCGUCAUCUUGGGGAGAACAGUCUGACAGGAACCAACUUGGCUGUUGCAAGGACCCACCUGGGAGGCUUGUCCAUGCUGGUCCAAAGUCGCUUUAAUCCUGAGCUUGUUCACCUCCUGCCAAGGUCCGCACCCUGCUGGAUUCCUGGCUGGGCCCUUCAGUGUUGCUGGGAUGGAUUUCUGAGGUUGCGGUGAUGAGGCUGGGUCUUAUCUGAUGAGCCUGUACCUGGUGAAGAGAGGAAGUCUCAUCAUGUCCUCCACCUGAGGACAUGGAGAGGAGGUGACCUCUACAGGACUCUGGGCCUCUAGCUCCACAACUAUGCAGUGUGAGCUGCCCCUGCCAUGUGUCUCGGUGUCUGGUGGUGAUUUGAGGCCUGCAGAUUCUCUCUCUGGCUGCAUGGCAUGCGCCUGUCUCCCGCCCUACACCACCUGGGAGCUGUUCAGCUGUCACUUGCUGUCCACUGCCCCGUGGCGCCCACCAUGCACCCACCUACACUCGAGGGCCCCUGUGGGGACAUCCAAGGCUCUUCCAAGAUGCAGCUUCCUUGUACAUCUGGCUGUCUAAUUCGGGCCGCCCCAGCUUCACUGUGCUCAGUGUGUGCCUCUUAACUCAGUCUGACUUGCCUGCACCUGCAAGGUCCUCCUUCCUGUGCCACAGCCCAAAACUACCUGCCAUGCCUCACCGGCCUCCUCUGUCCCUUCACUCAGGGAUCCCAGGUGUGCUCUACUUGUGGGAAUCAAAACAACAGACAGACAUGUGCCCCCAGCUGGAGCACACUCACACACAUGCACACACACAUGCACACACAGACCAGGAGUGGUGACUGAUAUGCUUAGGUGAAAACUCACCUGUAGCCAGAAUUAGACCAAGAAAGAACAGCGCCAGAGCCCCCAGCAGGGUCUCCAUCUUGGGGCUGCCUCUGUUCUUACUCCCUGCACUGUACACUCGUUUCUGCUGGUUUUGACUUUCACAUGUGAAAAUCUACGAGAUCAAACCAGAGAGAAGAGUGAUCAAAAGACACAGUGAAUAUUCACGUUUUAAAAAAUGUCCACUACAGUCUAAGAACCGGCCACUAAAGCCCCAGAACUCCCCCAUCUUGCCGUAAAGCCUCGCAUCACACUGCCCCAGCUGCCUUCAUCAAUUGAAAACGCUCCCCGGCCGGCCGCAGUCAUUCUGACUCCCGGAGAGUCCAGUGGUCUGACUCUGGGAAGGCCCAGCCCUCGCCGGCGGGACCCACUGAGGGAGUUGGGUGAGGAGCAGCGUCCGCCUGUGCAAGCUGCUUUUGUGUGAAUGGUGCCCGGCAGCAGCAGUCACAGUGGUUCUGAUCACGUCGGGUACAGAGGGCCACAGAGGAGGACUCUGAGCUGCUCAGAAAGUGGCUCGAAUGAUAGUAUGUGUGUGAGAGGGUGGGGUGUGUUUGAGGGGAAUUCAUGGCCUCGUGCCUUUUAUUGUAGUUUGUAAAAUGUAAGCAGUCACUGUCCACAGUGUCCCUCUUCACGUGUUUUGCAUUGGCACAGCGGUUAACUCUGGUUCCUUUUCUUCCAGAGCUGAGGGCUGAAUCCAGGGCCUUUGUGCUGAGCUGCAUCCCCACCCCCUUUACUUCACAUUCUGAGACGGGGUCUCACAAGUGGCCGUGAUCCAGGCAGGACUCAGACUCGCCCUCCUGCCUGGGCUUCCAGAGCUGGGGUUCACCAGCGGGCAUCAGUGCAGCCGCACGGGCUCCUGGGCUUCUGUUGCCUGUUGCCCACGGCAGAAUCAGCCCCCACGUCCCUUAUUCUGGAGCAUCGUGUGGAACACCCAGGGCUGGUUCUGGCGCUGCCUGUGGCCGCGCUUCCAGCUGUGAGGCAGAGUUCCCGAAUUCUCCCACUGAGCAGUGCGCUCACUUACACCCCACUUGCACCCGCCUGUCCCCCAGGGCGCACGGGCUGGGCCACAGUGCUUUUGUUCAGCACUGAUCAAAGCAGGACCUCCGGGAAGGGGGGGACUCCCUGCCCCGCCCCCCACCACGUGCGGCGUCUACCUUUUGUUCAGCCGCUGCCUGCUCCUGGCAGAGUCCAGGCUCACACCAGGGACACAGCUCACCCUUCCCGCCGGCUGAGGCGUUUGGCUCUGCAUCUUCCCUGCGUCUACAGGCGUCCGGAGAGCCCGGUUCACAAAGUGCGAAUGCAAAUAUUUGCCUAUUUUUCUAUUCACUUGCUUCCCCUCCUGCUUUUUGAAAAAUUAAUGUACUCUCUUUCUUUACUGCGGAUGUGAGUCUUUGUUAGAUAGGAGUCUCACAGACGCCACCUCCCAGCUCGGCUUCCACUCUGCUGACGGGAGAUCCGCUGAGAAGUUGUGAUGGGCGCGCAGGCCAGGGCUCGACUUACUGCCCUUGUGGACUGUGGUGCUGUGUCGUUCCACUUCCUGGAGUUUUAGUGUCGAGCCAUCCGCGCGCACAGAGGACUGAAUUAGGAUUCUGAGUUGCAUCCUCUUCCCUUUGUUUCAGGAGCAACUUGACAGGCAGGCCCUUUAUUUCCCCGUAAAUCAUUGAUAAGAGUAUCAGAGGAUCCAGGACUGAUGUCAGUCCCUGGCCACCCGCAGACCUCCGCGGGGUGACACCGGCCCAUUAGCGGCUCUCUUUGUCUAUAAUUAUAUACAGCAAGCAGAAUUCACUUAACA